UCUUGACCAUAAAGGAUAUUACACAUAUUACUUCCUUUUUUCCCCUGCACUUGAUACUGACCUUAGGAUGCUUCAUAAAUCAGGGAUGGGACACUAAUACAUAAGCAUUGUGUGGAAUUGGAGCAAGUCACCUAAACCAAACAAUGGAUGGAGGUAAAAGACAACGUUGAAAUAAUUUCAGUGACUUUGAAAAAACCCUCUUGAAGCUAAUUGUGCCAAUCCAGCCAAUGAUCGAGAACAAACAGCAUUAUUCAUCAACAGAAAACAAGAAAAUAAUGGCUGGCCUACCAUUUUGUAAUGAAAUCAACUCAAAUGAAAAAGUUUACAAAAGGACACUGCAACAACUUCAGAUCCUGUGGAAAAACAUAAAAAUCAACUUAAAGAAGACAAAUGCUGUUGCUCUUAGGGAGCAUUUCAAGACUGAAUUUCGACGACAUUCUUUGAUGGCCAGCAACCCCUGGAAGGUAUCCCCGAUGAUGACCAUUUGGACAAUUCAGAUGGGCGACCAUUAAAAUCCUCAUUUGAGGCAGAUGAUCAACAUAGCUUGGAGGGGAUAAGACAGGAUAAAGGUCUGCCCAGCACCCAGAAGGAAAUAUUGUGUCACUAACCCAGGCCGAAGGACAAAGACAAAAAGGCUGAGCAUGCAUGAGAAAGUGGCCGUGGAAUUUCAUGUGCGUAAACAAAUGUAUUUAAAAGAAGAUUUUGAUAUGAAGAUGAAAAUCCUUCAUGUUGAGUUGGCUAUGAAGGAGGAGGAGAGAAACAGGAAGCAGCAGCAGUACCAAUGUUCUUCUCAAACCAGCACCAGUUCAGGGUCCUGACAUUUCCAUUUAUGAAUUAAAAACCUUUUUGUUACUAA